rnacentral:misc_RNA from 1 species
GGGCAUGAAGGUUUGACAGACUGUAUUCGAUGUUUGUCUGAAGCAAUAUCUAUAAUUAAUGAUGAAAAAUCUACCAACCGAAGUCCAACUUGUCUUCAGUUAGCUGUGGCAUAUUGCUUACGUGCAUUAUGUACCCAGGAAGCUGAACCAAACUCAAAGGUUUUUAUCAUACAAGCAAGUCCUUCAAGAUGUCAAAGCAGCAAUAAAUGUAUGGUUGAGCGUUCCAUUUCCAGAGGAUGGCGG